AUUGAACGCUGGCGGCAGGCCUAACACAUGCAAGUCGAGCGGAUGAAGGGAGCUUGCUCCUGGAUUCAGCGGCGGACGGGUGAGUAAUGCCUAGGAAUCUGCCUGGUAGUGGGGGAUAACGUCCGGAAACGGGCGCUAAUACCGCAUACGUCCUGAGGGAGAAAGUGGGGGAUCUUCGGACCUCACGCUAUCAGAUGAGCCUAGGUCGGAUUAGCUAGUUGGUGGGGUAAAGGCCCACCAAGGCGACGAUCCGUAACUGGUCUGAGAGGAUGAUCAGUCACACUGGAACUGAGACACGGUCCAGACUCCUACGGGAGGCAGCAGUGGGGAAUAUUGGACAAUGGGCGAAGGCCUGAUCCAGCCAUGCCGCGUGUGUGAAGAAGGUCUUCGGAUUGUAAAGCACUUUAAGUUGGGAGGAAGGGCAGUAAGUUAAUACCUUGCUGUUUUGACGUUACCAACAGAAUAAGCACCGGCUAACUUCGUG
rnacentral:rRNA from 1 species